rnacentral:rRNA from 1 species
UACGAAGGGUGCAAGCGUUGUUCGGAAUCAUUGGGCGUAAAGCGCGCGCAGGCGGAUCAGCAAGUCAGAUGUGAAAUCUCGGAGCUCAACUCCGAAACUGCGUCUGAAACUGCUAGUCUAGAAUGUCGGAGGGGGCAGGGGAAUUUCACGUGUAGGGGUAAAAUCCGUAGAGAUGUGAAGGAACACCGGUGGCGAAGGCGGCAUCCUGGACCGAUAUUGACGCUGAUGCGCGAAAGCCAGGGGAGCAAACGGG